rnacentral:rRNA from 1 species
AGUGAACGCUGGCGGUAGGCCUAACACAUGCAAGUCGAACGGCAGCACAGUAAGAGCUUGCUCUUACGGUUGGCGAGUGGCGGACGGGUGAGGAAUACAUCGGAAUCUACUUUUUCGUGGGGGAUAACGUAGGGAAACUUACGCUAAUACCGCAUACGACCUACGGGUGAAAGCAGGGGAUCUUCGGACCUUGCGCGAUUGAAUGAGCCGAUGUCGGAUUAGCUAGUUGGCGGGGUAAAGGCCCACCAAGGCGACGAUCCGUAGCUGGUCUGAGAGGAUGAUCAGCCACACUGGAACUGAGACACGGUCCAGACUCCUACGGGAGGCAGCAGUGGGGAAUAUUGGACAAUGGGCGAAAGCCUGAUCCAGCCAUACCGCGUGGGUGAAGAAGGCCUUCGGGUUGUAAAGCCCUUUUGUUGGGAAAGAAAAGCAGCAGGUUAAUACCCCGCUGUUCUGACGGUACCCAAAGAAUAAGCACCGGCUAACUUCGUG